UACAGAGGUCUCAAGCGUUGUUCGGAUUCACUGGGUUUAAAGGGUGCGUAGGUGGGCUGGUAAGUCAGUGGUGAAAUCUCCAGGCUUAACUUGGAAACUGCCAUUGAUACUAUUAGUCUUGAAUACCGUGGAGGUCAGCGGAAUAUGUCAUGUAGCGGUGAAAUGCUUAGAUAUGACAUAGAACACCAAUUGCGAAGGCAGCUGGCUACACGAAUAUUGACACUGAUGCACGAAAGCGUGGGGAUCAAACAGGG
rnacentral:rRNA from 1 species